GACGAACGCUGGCGGCGUGCUUAACACAUGCAAGUCGAACGGAAAGGCCCUGCUUUUGUCUUGUGCCACAGAGGCGAACGGGUGAGUAACCCGUGAGUAACCUGCCCUUGAAUUUGGGAUACCUCCAGGAAACUGGGGCUAAUACCGGAUCUAAUCUCCCGCAGCAUGGUGGGGGUUGGAGAAUUUCGGCGGAUGGGGCUGGACCCGCGGCUUAUCAGGUUCUUGGUGGGGUAGUGGCAUACGAAGGCUUGGACGGGUAGCCGGCCUGGGAGGGUGACCGGGCACAUAGGGCCUGAGGAACGGGCCGGACGGCAACGGGAGGCAGCGGUGGGAGAUAUUGCACAAUGGGCGGAAGCAGGAUGCAGCAUCGCCGGGUGCGGGAUGACGGCUGUUGGGGAGUAAACAGCUUUAGACUGGGACGAAGAGUGCGUGACGGUAUUUAGUAAAGAAGCAACGGCUAACUACGUG
rnacentral:rRNA from 1 species